GCUAUAGAGACAGGAAGCGUUUAUUCUGCUCUAAAUCUGGGGUUCUUAAGAUGCCGGUCUAUGGAGAUCGUCCAUGGAGACUUGCUUUUGAGGCCUGCUUCAAGUGGUAAUUUGAGGAAGUGCAGUGUUUUGCACUUUCACUUUUUCAUCUGCUUGCAUCUGCCACUGUUAACAUGGAUGAGUACGCGUGCUCAGAAUCAUGGGAAGCCAACCGUUGACCCAUGACUACGUACAUGUUGGGAUGAAGACUGAAACGUGGUCAAUAGCAGAUCAGGAGAUGCAACCCAUCCACAGAAACUUGGGGAGGAAAAGACUUCAGGAAAGAUGCAAAGUCGGUAAUGUUGGCUUAUGAUGACAGCCAUAGUAAUGUGAUUAAUAUUAAUGAUAAUAUCUAUAGCAGCAACAGUUGUCAGCAGGGCCACGGCAGGAGGCGAGAACAGGGCCCGGAUAGAACCAUGAUCAGUGGAAACCUGUGAGACUGCUGGAUUGACUGUAACCGCGGGUAACCGUGACAUCUAGUGGCUCAAGUAGGAGGCAAACACCUGGAUGAGAAGCGCUUCCAUCCCCACGGCUACAAGGUAGUUUCAUAGUCUUCACUUCCACUGGGCUGACAGGCGGGUUGGAGAGAACACCACCAACCGCUGGUCUCACACGGACGGUGCAGGAGUAACAAUGCAGGGGCGGAGGGACAGGGACUCAGGUGCAGUGCAAUACGAGACUCCUCCAAGGACUGACGGUGUUAUUAAAUGGUGUCAACAGAAGAAGACAUCUAGAAGGUACUGGUCCUAAACGGUCCGACUAUGUUUGAGUUCAUGAGAGAGCUGAAGUUCCUCCUCUGCUCCACUCUGAUUGAAGACACUGGGGUUUCCCAUAAAGGAUUUCCUCAAAGCGCUGCCUUCACUGUUUAGAAUGUUAGCAUGCUAACAUCUGCUAAUGGGCACCAAACAACAGCAGAAGCCGGCGGCCAUGUCACUUGAUCAGCAGGUAUUUAGUCGUAAACAGAGUAUGCACAUUGUUGUAGUGUGGAUUCAAAGUUAACGAAUGCGACUGUAGUCUAACCCAAUUAAAGACAUUGGCCGGAUGCAACCCAGC
ensembl:lncRNA